GACGAACGCUGGCGGCGUGCUUAACACAUGCAAGUCGAACGGAAAGGCCCUGCUUUUGUGGGGUGCUCGAGUGGCGAACGGGUGAGUAACACGUGAGUAACCUGCCCUUGACUUUGGGAUAACUUCAGGAAACUGGGGCUAAUACCGGAUAGGAGCUCCUGCUGCAUGGUGGGGGUUGGAAAGUUUCGGCGGUUGGGGAUGGACUCGCGGCUUAUCAGCUUGUUGGUGGGGUAGUGGCUUACCAAGGCUUUGACGGGUAGCCGGCCUGAGAGGGAGACCGGCCACUAAGGCAGAAGGUAGGGACCAGGACGCAAGCGGGGGGGAGGGGGGGAAAAUUGAGCCAACGGGGCUGAGGCCGGGAGGAAGCACCGCGGGGGGGAGAACGCGUCGUUGGGUGAAGAACACAGUUGGGCUUAUACCGAGGCGUGGGGACGGGAAAGGGAAAAAAAGCACCGGCCAAAUUCGGG
rnacentral:rRNA from 1 species